AGAUUGCUUGAACAAAGGUUGAAGUUGGGACUAGAUCAACAGAUGCUUCAAUGGAUGAAUGGCUCGAGGGAACUGUAUAUGCUCAGUCCAAUGCAAACAAAUCAAAGAAGAAGAAGUAGAUGAACAAAUACUUUCAAGUUUCAGCCACACAAGAGUCUACCAUGGAGUGAAAAAUCAUGUAACUCAGAUUAGAUUGGAGAGUUUAAACUUUAAAGAGAGCAUGAGAAAAUAGUUUUAAAAUUUAGGCUGAAAGUCCUGCCUUUAUCUGUUGUAGUUUAAAAGAAAUUUUGGGGUAUCUUUUUAUUGAGACAGUGAGAUAUUGGAUAAUGGUGUUGAAAAAUAACAUCCAAUUUUAUAGGUAUCAUGUAAUAAAUAUUAUGUUUAUCUAUGUGAUUUUUGGCUUUCUUUUUUUCAA